rnacentral:rRNA from 1 species
AACGAACGCUGGCGGCAGGCUUAACACAUGCAAGUCGAGCGCCCCGCAAGGGGAUCGGCAGACGGGUGAGUAACGCGUGGGAACGUACCUUUUGGUUCGGAACAACUCCGGGAAACUGGAGCUAAUACCGGAUAAGCCCUAACGGGGAAAGAUUUAUCGCCGAAAGAUCGGCCCGCGUCUGAUUAGCUAGUUGGUGAGGUAACGGCUCACCAAGGCGACGAUCAGUAGCUGGUCUGAGAGGAUGAUCAGCCACACUGGGACUGAGACACGGCCCAGACUCCUACGGGAGGCAGCAGUGGGGAAUAUUGGACAAUGGGCGCAAGCCUGAGCCAGCCAUGCCGCGUGAGUGAUGAAGGCCUUAGGGUUGUAAAGCUCUUUUGUCCGGGAAGAUAAUGACUGUACCGGAAGAAUAAGCCCCGGCUAACUUCGUG